UGGGGAAUCUUGCGCAAUGGGCGAAAGCCUGACGCAGCCAUGCCGCGUGAAUGAUGAAGGUCUUAGGAUUGUAAAAUUCUUUCACCGGGGACGAUAAUGACGGUACCCGGAGAAGAAGCCCCGGCUAACUUCGUGCCAGCAGCCGCGGUAAUACGAAGGGGGCUAGCGUUGCUCGGAAUUACUGGGCGUAAAGGGCGCGUAGGCGGAUCGUUAAGUCAGAGGUGAAAUCCCAGGGCUCAACCCUGGAACUGCCUUUGAUACUGGCGAUCUUGAGUAUGAGAGAGGUAUGUGGAACUCCGAGUGUAGAGGUGAAAUUCGUAGAUAUUCGGAAGAACACCAGUGGCGAAGGCGACAUACUGGCUCAUUACUGACGCUGAGGCGCGAAAGCGUGGGGAGCAAACA
rnacentral:rRNA from 1 species